rnacentral:rRNA from 1 species
GAUGAACGCUGGCGGCGUGCCUAAUACAUGCAAGUCGAGCGAACAGACGAGGAGCUUGCUCCUCUGACGUUAGCGGCGGACGGGUGAGUAACACGUGGAUAACCUACCUAUAAGACUGGGAUAACUUCGGGAAACCGGAGCUAAUACCGGAUAAUAUCUUGAACCGCAUGGUUCAAUAGUGAAAGACGGCUUUGCUGUCACGUAUAGAUGGAUCUGCGCCGCAUUAGCUAGUUGGUAAGGUAACGGCUUACCACGGCGACGCUGCGUAGCCGACCUGAGAGGGUGAUCGGCCACACUGGAACUGAGACACGGUCCAGACUCCUACGGGAGGCAGCAGUAGGGAAUCUGCCGCAAUGGGCGAAAGCUUGACGGAGCAACGCCGCGUGAGUGAUGAAGGUCUUCGGAGCGUAAAACUCUGUUAUUUGGGAAGAACAAAUGUGUAAGUAACUAUGCACGUCUUGACGGUACCUAAUCAGAAGGCCACGGCUAACUACGUG